rnacentral:rRNA from 1 species
GUGCCAGCAGCCGCGGUAAUACGUAGGUGGCAAGCGUUAUCCGGAAUUAUUGGGCGUAAAGCGCGCGUAGGCGGUUUUUUAAGUCUGAUGUGAAAGCCCACGGCUCAACCGUGGAGGGUCAUUGGAAACUGGAAAACUUGAGUGCAGAAGAGGAAAGUGGAAUUCCAUGUGUAGCGGUGAAAUGCGCAGAGAUAUGGAGGAACGCCAGUGGCGAAGGCGACUUUCUGGUCUGUAACUGACGCUGAUGUGCGAAAGCGUGGGGAUCAAACAGGAUUAGA